rnacentral:rRNA from 1 species
AGUGAACGCUGGCGGUAGGCCUAACACAUACAAGUCGAACGGCAGCACAGUAAGAGCUUGCUCUUACGGGUGGCGAGUGGCGGACGGGUGAGGAAUACAUCGGAAUCUACUUUUUCGUGGGGGAUAACGUAGGGAAACUUACGCUAAUACCGCAUACGACCUACGGGUGAAAGCAGGGGAUCUUCGGACCUUGCGCGAUUGAAUGAGCCGAUGUCGGAUUAGCUAGUUGGCGGGGUAAAGGCCCACCAAGGCGACGAUCCGUAGCUGGUCUGAGAGGAUGAUCAGCCACACUGGAACUGAGACACGGUCCAGACUCCUACGGGAGGCGGCAGUGGGGAAUAUUGGACAAUGGGCGCAAGCCUGAUCCAGCCAUACCGCGUGGGUGAAGAAGGCCUUCGGGUUGUAAAGCCCUUUUGUUGGGAAAGAAAAGCAGCAGGUUAAUACCCCGCUGUUCUGACGGUACCCAAAGAAUAAGCACCGGCUAACUUCGUG